GAGAGACGCGCAACUCCGCUCCGCACUGUGCGCCAGCAUCCCCGGGGCACGGAGGGCGCUGCGGCCCGCCCGGAGACCCCCCCACCCAGGCUGGAUCCGGGCCCUGGGGCCCAGGGAGCGGCUUUAAAGAGUAAGAGCAGCGCACCCGGCUCCCUCCUGCUAAUUAGAUUUCAGAUUCCCCUCUGGCCUCAGUGCUCAUUCCGGGGAAGACACCUGCUGAGAUGUCUUUUUCCCCCUCCCCCAACCAAACCACUCAGGUCCUACCUGCUCUUUCCCGGCUUGAUGCGGGCGUGUUUUCCUGUAUGUAUUUUUUCGUGCGGCCACAAAAAGCAUCAGCUGGGGUUCCCGAAGGUCAGAAAAUGGCUAUUGAUUAAUCUACUAGAAUAGUUGCCGAGAGAAAUAAAAACGACGUAAAAUAGCAGGGAACCUAUAAAUAAAGAAGCCAUAACUGGCUACUUGGAGUUGUUAAACGACUUAGCAUAUGAAAAAAUCGGAAAUGAGGCGCUGGGGAAGGAGCUGGGAUUGGCAGCGGCCUGGGUGUGGACAAAUCCUCCAAGAUUUAACUUCCAAGAAAACCGGCGGCGGAGCGGGUGGAGGAGGCGAGGAUGUGUGGCCAAUGCACGCGGAGUGCAAGGCCGCCUAGUUGGGAGCCGCAAGAGCCUGCCUGGUGUGGCAGGCACACGGAACCCAAUCCCUGUCUGUCCGCUGCGGCCUGGGAGGGGAGCGCCGGCCUCACCAGAGGAAGGAGCACGAGGGGAGGAGUUCCGAGAGGAAAUAAUUAGUGAAAUAUUUGCAGAAGAUGCUGGGAUGUGGAUUUAAUUCCGGAUGGACAGUGGUGCUUCUGAUUCCCUCAGUCUGUUUCCCCACCCACGAUCUCCUCUUUCCUUGGCCUAGACACACCAAAAAUAAUUCAAUAAAAUAAAAAUAAAAAUUUAAAAAUC
rnacentral:lncRNA from 10 species